GUCCUUUUGUCGGUGUCGUUUUAUUUUUCCUGAAACGAUUAAAGUUCUGACAGUGUUUGAUGAGAUCGUAGUUGGUCUGUUAUAGAUCUCAUAAUCUCCGAAAUUAUAAAGUGACAAAGAUUUUCUAUGUCGAUCCUCAUUAACAGAAUUCAAAUAUUGGUUUCAAUAUUUUUCUAUAGGGUUUUCGACCUGAAUAUCAAUGAUGGAGUAAUGUUGAAAUUUUGACGGAGAAGAUAAGAAUCUAUUCCAAUAUUUCUUAUCAAUUCAAUAUGAUAAUUCUACUAUAUAUAUAUAUAUAUGAUAAAACUUACUUUUUUAAUAUUUGUUGUGUAGGUUAAAUUCAAAAUGAACAUGUUAAUAAAAACGCAUCCUCCACAAGACUUUUUCUACACACCAAUUCAGUUUGGAUAAAGAGGUAAAGGCAAAGUGUGAUCGUGGAAUCAAGGCGAUGAGAAGGAG